rnacentral:rRNA from 1 species
UACGGGGGGGGGUAAGCGUUGUUCGGAAUUACUGGGCGUAAAGGGCUCGUAGGCGGCCAACUAAGUCAUACGUGAAAUCCCUCAGCUUAACUGGGGAACUGCGUGUGAUACUGGAUGGCUUGGAUUUGGGAGAGGGAUGCGGAAUUCCAGGUGUAGCGGUGAAAUGCGUAGAUAUCUGGAGGAACACCGGUGGCGAAGGCGGCAUCCUGGACCAACACUGACGCUGAGGAGCGAAAGCCAGGGGAGCAAACGGG